UCCACACUUAGCCGCAGCCCUGAUUUUUCUGAACCCUAAUAUCCUCAGCUUCAGCCUCUAUGUCCAAUCCACGGCGAGGCGGAGAGCGAGGGAGGGACAUGGCUAAUGCAUAUUGGGAUUCGAGGGGGCUGGAGAUCGUGAAGAAGCAUGAUUCUAGAGGCCUCAUACGGAAGAGAAUGAAGCUCACCUCUACUCGUAAAGCCAAUGCUAAGAAGCUUCUUCAUCGAGUUUGGUAUAUCUAAAUGUGUUUUAAGAUAUAUGCAGCGCCCUCAUAUUUCUAUUAGAGGAUGCCAGAGCAGAAGGUGGAUACAUCUACUGGAGUAAAAGCUGUUCACUGUCCGAGUUAUAUAAUCUUCUCUUCCAAAAGCAUCCUUGCACAGAUAUACAGAGGACACAGGUACAAUAUUUACUGUGCUACUUAUUUAUUUUACUUUUAUGUUUCGGUUGAAUGAGAUCAUUACCUCUAGUCCAAAGAUGGCUCAUAGCAAUAGAUCACCUGAAUUUCCUUGGAUGAAAGAUGGAGUAGGAUUGCCGCCCAAUGCAUCAGAAUUACUUGUCUAGCUGGUAAUGUUUUUGGAAUAUAGAAAUGCAUUAUGAUAGCUUAGACCUCUCGCUUUGAGAAUCAGGACAGGCACAAAAAUGCACUAUCUGAAUUAAUAAAUGUACUCUGGUUCUUUCAGGUUCUGCCUUAUUUGGAUUUUAUUAUUUAAUUUGAUUUUAUCUUUAUCAUCAUUAAAUUAGAACGAUACUCAAGUUAUUCCUGCAUUUCUUAUGUUAGCUUCACAAGCUUGUUUUCCAUAAUUACUUUGAGUUCAGGCAUAAAUCCCAGCGUGCAUUUUAUAUUCUGGAGCAUCAAAUGAUUUGAAUUACUGUUAUUUACAGCUAGUUUUUAUUUUUUGACAAGCUGGUGUUAAUAGUAAAAUUGUAUCAAAAUUUGAGCUCUUAGUUGGAAAGGCUAUAUUCUAAAAACCUUUAAUGAAGCAAUCCCUGUUAUAACCAAUGCAUGGGAUAAUUGCUCAAUCAGGCUAUUAAUUACAGAUUCAAGUAUAAGUCCUGUUGUCAACAAUGAAGUAUAACUUUAUUAUAUACAGAGUAUAUGAGAGAUGAUGAGAUUAGAAUGCAAUUCUUGAUAGAAAUGUUGUAUUUUUACUUUGUUGCCUUAAAACUUUUUUAUUCUAUCAUUUUGACAUUCUAGAUUGGUCAAGUUAAUAAAUAGCUCUAAUUGAAACAAAGCAAAAUAUCUGGAUUGGGUGGUAUUUUGCUUUUAUAGCCUACCUUUUACACUAGGAUAGAGCCAGUAAUUUAAGCUAAGCUCGAUGGGCUAGCUCUAAAAAUUUAGAACUAAGCCCUAAAAAAAAUUAUUUUUUAAUAUUCAAACCUAUUCGGGCAGCUUGAAUAGGCUCGAGCAAAUUUGGGCCAAGUCUGAACCCGAUUGGGCUUGGCCCAAAUACUUGAAUAAAUUUUUUUAAAAAAUGUAUGAAAUAUAUUAAUUAAUUUUUUAAGUUUUAUAUCAUUUUAUAUUGAAAUACUAUGUAUUUGAGUGCAUUACUAUAGUUAUUUUUUA